UACGAAGGGUGCAAGCGUUACUCGGAAUUACUGGGCGUAAAGCGCACGUAGGCGGCUUCGCAAGUCAGGUGUGAAAGCCCAGGGCUCAACCCUGGAAGUGCACUUGAAACUGCGAGGCUUGAAUGUCGGAGAGGGUAGUGGAAUUCCGAGUGUAGAGGUGAAAUUCGUAGAUAUUCGGAGGAACACCAGUGGCGAAGGCGACUCUUUGGUCUGUAACUGACGCUGAGGCGCGAAAGCGUGGGGAGCAAACAGG
rnacentral:rRNA from 1 species